UACGUAGGGGGCGAGCGUUGUCCGGAUUUAUUGGGCGUAAAGAGCUCGUAGGCGGCUUGUCGCGUCAACUGUGAAAACCCGUGGCUCAACCAUGUGGUCUGCAGUCGAUACGGGCAGGCUAGAAUUCGGUAGGGGAGACUGGAAUUCCUGGUGUAGCGGUGAAAUGCGCAGAUAUCAGGAGGAACACCGGUGGCGAAGGCGGGUCUCUGGGCCGAUAUUGACGCUGAGGAGCGAAAGCGUGGGGAGCGAACAGG
rnacentral:rRNA from 1 species